UGGGGAAUAUUGCACAAUGGGCGCAAGCCUGAUGCAGCCAUGCCGCGUGUAUGAAGAAGGCCUUCGGGUUGUAAAGUACUUUCAGUCGGGAGGAAGGUGUCAAGGUUAAUAACCUUGGCAAUUGACGUUACCGACAGAAGAAGCACCGGCUAACUCCGUGCCAGCAGCCGCGGUAAUACGGAGGGUGCAAGCGUUAAUCGGAAUUACUGGGCGUAAAGCGCACGCAGGCGGUUGAUUGAGUCAGAUGUGAAAUCCCCGGGCUUAACCCGGGAAUUGCAUCUGAUACUGGUCAGCUAGAGUCUGGUAGAGGGGGGUAGAAUUCCAUGUGUAGCGGUGAAAUGCGUAGAGAUGUGGGGGAAUACCGGUGGCGAAGGCGGCCCCCUGGACAAAGACGGACGCUCAGGUGCGAAAGCGUGGGGAGCAAACAGG
rnacentral:rRNA from 1 species